rnacentral:rRNA from 1 species
GAUGAACGCUAGCGGCAGGCCUAAUACAUGCAAGUCGAACGGGAUUAAGAGGCUUGCUUCUUAUGAGAGUGGCGCACGGGUGCGUAACACGUAUGCAACCUACCUUCAACUGGGGGAUAGCCUUCCGAAAGGGAGAUUAAUACCGCAUAAUAUAAUUGAGUGGCAUCACUUGAUUAUCAAACGUCAGGGUUGAAGAUGGGCAUGCGUCCGAUUAGUUUGUUGGUGAGGUAACGGCUCACCAAGACUACGAUCGGUAGGGGAUCUGAGAGGAUGGCCCCCCACACUGGUACUGAGACACGGACCAGACUCCUACGGGAGGCAGCAGUAAGGAAUAUUGGUCAAUGGACGGAAGUCUGAACCAGCCAUGCCGCGUGCAGGAAGACGGUCCUCCGGAUUGUAAACUGCUUUUGUUAGGGAAGAAACUUCCGUACGUGUACGGGACUGACGGUACCUAAAGAAUAAGGAUCGGCUAACUCCGUGCCAGCAGCCGCAGUAAAAC